rnacentral:rRNA from 1 species
ACGUAGGGUGCGAGCGUUGUCCGGAAUUAUUGGGCGUAAAGGGCUCGUAGGCGGUUUGUCGCGUCGGGAGUGAAAAUCCAGGGCUUAACUCUGGACUGGCUUCCGAUACGGGCAGACUAGAGGUAUGCAGGGGAGAACGGAAUUCCUGGUGUAGCGGUGAAAUGCGCAGAUAUCAGGAGGAACACCGGUGGCGAAGGCGGUUCUCUGGGCAUUACCUGACGCUGAGGAGCGAAAGUGUGGGGAGCGAACAGGAUUAGAUACCCUGGUAGUCCACACCGUAAACGUUGGGCGCUAGGUGUGGGGUCCAUUCCACGGAUUCCGUGCCGCAGCUAACGCAUUAAGCGCCCCGCCUGGGGAGUACGGCCGCAAGGCUA